rnacentral:rRNA from 1 species
CUGCAGGCUGCAACUCGCCUGCACGAAGUUGGAAUUGCUAGUAAUCGUGGAUCAGCAUGCCACGGUGAAUACGUUCCCGGGCCUUGUACACACCGCCCGUCACACCAUGGGAGCUUGUAACGCCCAAAGUCGGUGGCCUAACCUUUAUGGAGGGAGCCGCCUAAGGCGGGACAGAUGACUGGGGUGAAGUCGUAACAAGGUAAC